rnacentral:rRNA from 1 species
UACGUAGGGUGCGAGCGUUGUCCGGAAUUAUUGGGCGUAAAGGGCGCGUAGGCGGAUGGCACAGUCAGAUGUGAAAUUCCCGGGCUUAACCUGGGGGCUGCAUUUGAUACGUGCGAUCUGGAGUGAGGAAGAGGGUCGUGGAAUUCCCAGUGUAGAGGUGAAAUUCGUAGAUAUUGGGAAGAACACCGGUGGCGAAGGCGGCGACCUGGUCCUUUACUGACGCUGAGGCGCGAAAGCGUGGGGAGCAAACAGG